AGCAACCAAGAGCUCUUGUUCUUCAAAACCCUAAUACCAAAUUCCUUCAACAAUUCAGAGGAAAAUCAAGUUAGGAAUCGAAUUCAAGUGAAAUUCGUGAUCACUAUAGUUAAAGGAUCACAAGGCAAAUUGGGUGGAUCGUCAAGUAGUCAAGGCGGAACGGAUAGUCGUUUGAAAGGAAAGCUUUGAAAGGUAAAAUGUAGGAACUUGCGGAUGAAGAUCAAGCUAUGUUACAGGACCGAACACUCGUGCCAAGAAGCUUCCGCAAAUGAAAACAAUUACUUUUGUUACAAACACCUUGGUGUUGUGUUAUAACACUUUAGUAAAUAUGUUUUGAAAGUUAAAUAUGUUGUGUUUUUAACAAUAUGUUUUGCAACUUUAGUGAACGUCUU